rnacentral:rRNA from 1 species
CCUACGGGCGGCAGCAGUGAGGAAUAUUGGUCAAUGGACGAGAGCCUGACCCAGCCAAGUCGCGUGAAGGAUGACUGUCCUAUGGGUUGUAAACUUCUUUUAUAUGGGAAUAAAACGUUCCACGUGUGGGAUUUUGUAUGUACCAUAUGAGUAAGGAUCGGCUAACUCCGUGCCAGCAGCCCCGGUAAUACGGAGGAUCCGAUCGUUAUCCGGAUUUAUUGGGUUUAAAGGGAGCGUAGGUGGGUUGUUAAGUCAGUUGUGAAGGUUUGCGGCUCAACCGUGAAAUUGCAGUUGAAACUGGCAGUCUUGAGUGCAGUAGAGGUGGGCGGAAUUCGUGGUGUAGCGGUGAAAUGCUUAGAUAUCACGAAGAACUCCGAUUGCGAAGGCAGUUCACUGGACUGCAACUGACACUGAGGCUCGAAAGUGUGGGUAUCAAACAGGAUUAGAUACCCCAGUAGUC